UAGUCGCAUGCCUCUGACAGAUGAUACCUAAAGAAACCUCCAGGAUUCACAACACCCAGCAAUUUCAAAAUGCAAUCCAUAAAGCUAAUUGCAAUUCUUCGUGUUUUGACAGAGAAACAAUAACGCGUCUUGUGAAACACUUUAUUUUUGAAGAGAAGUCAAAUACAUUCAGGCCUGUCUUUUCCCAACAUUGUCCAUUCUGGAGCGAGCUCAUGAGGCAUAGAAUCCAAAGGAUCCACAUUUAUAGGCAAGCGCAAAGUUUCAUCCUGUGUGCAUUAACACUUUGCUGAAUGGGCCUUGGGACCCUCCAGAUGCUCAAAGGACAGAGAGGUACACCUGCCCUGUCCUCCCCAAUGAUGACUCUCCUGUGAAGUACAGUGUGCGCAAAGACAGGACUAGUAACAACAAAGACCACAUAAAGGUAAGUCAUACUUCUACAGAGUAGUCCUGGCAGGGAAGAUGGUGAAUUUUACCCCACAGUUUCCUAUACUGGCAGGCGGGCACAAAAGCUUUGAGGGACC
rnacentral:lncRNA from 1 species